GACGAACGCUGGCGGCGUGCUUAACACAUGCAAGUCGAACGGAAAGGCCCUGCUUUUGUGGGGUGCUCGAGUGGCGAACGGGUGAGUAACACGUGAGUAACCUGCCCUUGACUUUGGGAUAACUUCAGGAAACUGGGGCUAAUACCGGAUAGGAGCUCCUGCUGCAUGGUGGGGGUUGGAAAGUUUCGGCGGUUGGGGAUGGACUCGCGGCUUAUCAGCUUGUUGGUGGGGUAGUGGCUUACCAAGGCUUUGACGGGUAGCCGGCCUGAGAGGGUGACCGGAGAAGUUGGGAGUGAGAAACGGGCCGGAGUGACCGGGGGGGCAGCAGCGGGGAGGAGGGCGAGAGGGGCGGAGGUGUGAUCCAGGAACGCCGCGGGCGGAGUGAGGGUCAGAGGGUUGGAAAACGAUGCAGCCGGUAACGAAGCGUGAGGGGCGGUGAUGAGAAAAGAAGAACGGACUGAGUAAGUG
rnacentral:rRNA from 1 species